rnacentral:rRNA from 1 species
GACGAACGCUGGCGGCGUGCUUAACACAUGCAAGUCGAACGGAAAGGCCCUGCUUUUGUGGGGUGCUCGAGUGGCGAACGGGUGAGUAACACGUGAGUAACCUGCCCUUGACUUUGGGAUAACUUCAGGAAACUGGGGCUAAUACCGGAUAGGAGCUCCUGCUGCAUGGUGGGGGUUGGAAAGUUUCGGCGGUUGGGGAUGGACUCGCGGCUUAUCAGCUUGUUGGUGGGGUAGUGGCUUACCAAGGCUUUGACGGGUAGCCGGCCUGAGAGGGUGACCGGCGACAUUGGGACUGAGAUACGGCCCAGACUCCUACGGGCGGCAGCAGUGGGGAAUAUUGCACAAUGAGCGGAAGCCUGAUGCAGCAACGCCGCGUGCGGGAUGACGGCCUUCGGGUUGUAAACCGCUUUCGCCUGUGACGAAGCGUGAGUGACGGUAAUGGGUAAAGAAGCACCGGCUAACUACGUG